rnacentral:rRNA from 1 species
AUGGAUCUGCUCAUGCUCUCAGCAGGAAUACUGGAUGUUCUCGAAGCUUUGCCAUACACACAUGCUACUUUUGGCACUUGCGUGGGCUCCAGUUUGUGUCAAUGCAAUUUGCAUCUGUCAGCGGAUUAUGGCGAUCAGGAACCAGGUGCUAUAAUGCACCAAUGCUGCUUUCUGAUGAUGACGGCAAUGCCAAACGCACCAUCACCUGAGGUCUAUGCGAUUGGCGGGGAUGGAACCAUGAGAGGAGCAGUGGCGAUAUUCAAAGAGUUUAAACGGCAUGGUUUGAGGAUAUCCAUUACAUGGAUCCCAAAAACUGUGGACAUUGGCAUCAUAGACAGGUAG